rnacentral:rRNA from 1 species
UACGAAGGGGGCUAGCGUUACUCGGAAUGACUGGGCGUAAAGGGCGCGUAGGCGGUUUUGUAAGUCAGAUGUGAAAUCCCCGGGCUUAACCUGGGAACUGCGUUUGAAACUACAAGGCUAGAGUGUAGCAGAGGGGGGUGGAAUUCCACGUGUAGCAGUGAAAUGCGUAGAGAUGUGGAGGAACACCGAUGGCGAAGGCAGCCCCCUGGGUUAACACUGACGCUCAGGCACGAAAGCGUGGGGAGCAAACAGG